rnacentral:rRNA from 1 species
GAAACACGGACCAAGGAGUUCAACUGGAUUGCGAGUCGUAGAGUAUCAACACAAAACUCAUGCGGCGAAGCGAAAGCAAAAUUUGUGCGAUGUAUAUAUUUUAUAUAUACUGCAGCACGGGCUGAUUAUGGAUAUACGUAGAGAGUUUUCUUUGUGCGUAUACGUAACUUUUUUCCUCGGAAAUUAAUUACGAUUAAUUUAGCUAAAGAGCACUUUAGUUGAGACCCGAAAGAUGGUGAACUAUGCUCGGACAUGGUGAAGCCAGGUGAAAACUUGGUGGAAGCUUGCGUUGUGCGGAACUGACGUGCAAAUCGUUGCCGCCUGACCUGAGUAUAGGGGCGAAAGACUCAUCGAACCAUCUAGUAGCUGGUUCCCUCCGAAGUUUCCCUCAGGAUAGCUCGAAUUUAUUUAAUGAGUAACACAAGGGUAAAGCAAUGAGACGCGGUAUCUGUGGGUCUUAUUUAAAUGACCUCGGCCUUCUCUCAAACUUUAAAUCUGUGCGAUUACGUGCGCUUGCUUAGAAUAUAUAACAUUUAUGUUAUGUAGCGAAGUCACGUUUUUAUAUUGUAUCAAAAAUUCGUAGUGGGCCAUUUCUGGUAAGCAGAACUGGCGAUGAGGGAUUCAACCUGACGUUCUCAAGAUAAGCCGGGCUUAAUCAUAUCUGCUCCAACCUUCCGAUAAACGCGA